UAGGGAAUAUUAGAAAUGGACGAAAGUCUGAUCUAGCAACACCGCGUGUGCGAAGAAGGCCUUCGGGUCGUAAAGCACUUUUUGGAAGGAAUAGGAAGGAAUGUACUUCCAGAAUAAGUCUCGGCUAACUACGUGCCAGCAGCCGCGGUAACACGUAGGAGGCGAACGUUAUCCGGAUUUACUGGGCGUAAAGCGCGUGUAGGUGGUACUGUAAGUAGGGCGUGAAAGCUCCUGGCUCAACUGGGAGAGGCCGUUCUAAACUACAGAACUAGAGGAUGGUAGAGGGAGGUGGAAUUCCAGGUGUAGCGGUGGAAUGCGCAGAUAUCUGGAGGAACACCGGUGGCGAAGGCGGCCUCCUGGAUCAUUCCUGACACUCAGACGCGAAAGCUAGGGUAGCAAACG
rnacentral:rRNA from 1 species